GACGAACGCUGGCGGCGUGCUUAACACAUGCAAGUCGAACGGAAAGGCUCCAGCUUGCUGGAGUACUCGAGUGGCGAACGGGUGAGUAACACGUGGGUAAUCUGCCCUGCACUCUGGGAUAAGCCUGGGAAACUGGGUCUAAUACUGGAUAUGACCUUUCUCCUUAUGGGGUUUGGUGGAAAGUUUUUCGGUGUAGGAUGAGCCCGCGGCCUAUCAGCUUGUUGGUGGGGUGAUGGCCUACCAAGGCGACGACGGGUAGCCGGCCUGAGAGGGUGAUCGGCCACAUUGGGACUGAGAUACGGCCCAGACUCCUACGUGAGGCAGCAGUGGGGAAUAUUGCACAAUGGGCGGAAGCCUGAUGCAGCGACGCCGCGUGAGGGAUGACGGCCUUCGGGUUGUAAACCUCUUUCAGCAGGGACGAAGCGUAAGUGACGGUACCUGCAGAAGAAGCACCGGCUAACUACGUG
rnacentral:rRNA from 1 species